rnacentral:lncRNA from 1 species
UCUGGCUCUAAGUGUACAAUUAACAGUGGAAAACAAGAAGUCUUACAAGAAAUAAUGUUACUUUCAUGCGAGUUAAAAUUAGCAAACAAAUUGUGUAAGGAUAAAUGGAGAACAUCCUCAAUACGAAAUAAAAACGGGUCAGAGGAUACAUCCCACAGUGGACAAUAAUGGUUCAUCUUUUAUGACUUACAACACAAUGAUCUGAUUACUUCUGGCCAAGAAACAGACUUUUUGUGGACAGGACUGUGAAGCCAUCUGCAGGAGUUCCCUCUGUUGUGCUGUCAGCACUGGCUGAUUUGCUCACUUCUCCCUGCUUCUUCUUGGAUUUCCUUGCCCCUUUCUUGCCGCCUGUUUUCUUUGAUACAGUUUUUUUCUGUGAUGGAGACUUUGCCUUCUUUGCUGGAGGUGGAGUAAUGAUGGCUUCCAGUUUUCCUUUUGAGCCCCGCUUCUUUGCCAACAGCUCUGGGUGAAUAUUGGGCAAGACUCCACCACUGGCUAUGGUGACCCC